GACUCAAUCAACCGUCGAAGCAAAGUUCAUCGCUGCAACAACAUUUGUUAAUCAUGUUUUAUGGCUGAGAAAAAUUUUAAAUGAUCUGCGCUUAGAGCAAAAAACGAGUACCAAAUGAAAAGGUUGGAUUAAUCAUAGGGAGAGGUGGGGAAACAAUUAAAAGCCUGCAGAGCAAAUCCGGGGCGCGCAUCCAGUUGAUACCUCAACAUCUUCCAGAAGGGGAUGAUUCCAAAGAAAGGACUGUCCAAGUUACUGGUGAUAAGAGGCAAAUUCAAAUUGCACAAGAAUUGAUAAAGGAAGUCAUGAAUCAGAUGUUGAAUCUCUACAUAUAAAUUGUGGUGGAAAGCAGGUUGUUGUUGGAGAUAUAACAUAUGAUGAAGAUAUGGAUUCAGCUGGACCAACAGUUUUUAAACAAAGUAGAAAUAAUUGGACAUUUAGCAACACAGGUCACUUCGUGGUCAAUGAUACUUUAGCUAAACAAGGGAAGCUUCCAGCCUAUGCCACAGAAAAUGAAACCAGGCUUUAUAUGACUGAUGCCGAAUUAUAUAAGAAUGCACGUAUUUCCCCCAUAUCUUUGACUUAUUAUGGAUUUUGCUUGGAAAAUGGAGACUACACAGUAAAGCCAUACUUUGCUUAGAUAAUGUAUACAGCUGAUAGCACAUAUAGCUGCUUAGGGAGGCGUCUGUUAGAUGUUAUAUUCAAGUACACGAUUUUAUCCAACAAGUCACUAGUUUCCUUUAGGAUGACAUCAAUCAAUGUUUACACUUUAGAUCCCUUUCACAAGAAGUUGAAAAGGAACUCAUAAAACAAUUUUCAUCUCAUGUGAGUAGUAAGGAUUUAUAGAUCCACUUCUAUUGGGCUGGCAAAGAGACAACAAAAUCCCAUACAAAUUUAAAAGCUAGCAUCUCUAAUUCAAUCAAAAUAUCUAUGCAGUUAUUCUAACAAUGUUAUAGGUUAGGAAUGAAUCAAAUUGUACUUAGGAAAGAAAAAAGAAAGCAUGGCUAGGAAUCAUUACAGGUAACUAGCUUAUUUAUCAUUUUGAUAGCUUCAUCAGUAACUGAUGUGCUCUACGUUUCGGUUCUUCUAUUCUAUUUUACUUUAGAUAUUUAACAGGAAACUUGCUCACUGAGCAAGUGCCUGAGUGGACAAGUGCCAGUAAAAAAAAUUUUUGAGUUCUAUUUUGAAUGCUACUUGUAUACCUCAUUGAGUA